AUGAGGUCCCAGCUGGGAUGGGCAGAAGUUCUGUCACUCUGCCACAGCACAACUGCACACCAUCCUUCAUGCCCCAGGGCUGUGAUAUUUAUUUCCAAUGACAGUUCAGCCUAUACUGCUUAUUUUUGUUUAAUAGUUGCAGUGGAGGGAUCGGUGAUACUGUGGCCACAAAAGCAACUGGUCAUCUGGAAGUAUGAGGUCUAGCGGUGUUUUAAAAGUGUGAAAACAUCUGAAAAAAAAAUAGAGGUGGAAACAUAUUUUUUCUCAGGUAUCCAAACAUGUGCCACAUUUUCUUUGGAAACAGUUCAGUAUGAAACAUUUUAUAGAGGAAACUAUUUUCUCCUUUU
rnacentral:lncRNA from 1 species